UGGGUGCGCGAUCACGUCGACCACUUUGGUGGCAAUCCAAACUCGAUAACCAUAUUUGGCAAGAGCGCAGGUGUGGUGCCAGCGGGUGCCAGCGGGUGCCAGCGUCGACUUUCACGUUCUGUCUCCAUAUUCCAAAGAGUUGUUUCAUUGAGCCAUCAUUCAAUCGGGGGCAGCGAACUGUCCGUGGGUGUUGGACACGCCCGUCGGCGAAUACACGAAAAUCCUGGCCGAGCAUCUGGAUUGCCCAACGGCCACUUCCGGGGAGUUUACUCCAAUGUCUCCAGGACGCGCAGUGCCGAGGAUAUUGUCGGAAUACGACGCAACAUCACCUUGCCUGAAUUAGUAUUGAUUGGAAUGAUUUCAUUUAUACUAGUA